rnacentral:rRNA from 1 species
UACAGAGGGGGCAAGCGUUAUUCGGAAUUAUUGGGCGUAAAGGGCGCGUAGGCGGCUUUGCAAGUGGCGGGUGAAAUCCCUCGGCUUAACCGGGGAACUGCCUGUCAAACUGCAUGGCUUGAGACCGGGAGAGGUGAGUGGAAUUCCCAGUGUAGCGGUGAAAUGCGUAGAUAUUGGGAGGAACACCAGCGGCGAAGGCGGCUCACUGGACCGGUACUGACGCUGAUGCGCGAAAGCGUGGGGAGCAAACAGG